ACGCAGCGGCAGUUGAGAACAGAUACAGAAGACGAGAAUUGAAGAGAUAGAAAUGCUAAAAGCAGGAGUAGCUGCUCUUUCGCGCUCACCACCUCCUUCUUCUUCUUUCACGAGCUACGCUACCAUUCACGAUUCCGCAAACUUUCACCGCGUUUCGAUCAGAGUAGCAACAUUCACGAAAAUGGCCUCCUCCGCCUCCUCCUCACCACUCCCCUCACUCAACAUUCCAAAUUUCGUUUCCGUCGAAGGCGCCGACGUACAUUCGCGAACUAAACCUGAUGGCUUCAGAUUCACCUUAGUCUCGUAUAACAUAUUAGCUCAGGCUUAUGUGAAGAGCUCUCUGUUCCCACACUCUCCUUCCCCGUCACUCAAGUGGAAAUUUCGUUCAAGUUCCAUUUUAGAAGUUCUCAAGAACUUGGGAGCUGAUUUUUUCUGCCUACAGGAGGUUGAUGAAUUUGAUAGCUUUUACAAUGGAAGCAUGCGGAACUUGGGAUAUUCGUCUAUCUAUAUGAAGAGAAGUGGACAGAAGCGUGAUGGGUGUGGCUUGUUUUACAAGCAUGACCGUGCAGAGUUGGUUUUGGAGGAGAAAAUUGAAUACAACGAUCUAGUAAAGUCAAUUAAAGAUGGAAACUCUCCAAAUGAUGACAAAGAAAGCAAAGGCCAGCCAAAUAAACAAGAGGAUGCUGCAUCCAAUGAUGGACCUAAAUCGAAUAAAGAAGAUCGUGGAGACCCCAAAGAUCCUCGUGUGAGACUAAAGCGUGACUGUGUAGGAAUUUUGGCUGCGUUUAGGGUCAAAGAUCCCUCUCGUCAUGUUGUUAUUGUGGCCAACACACAUCUUUAUUGGGAUCCUGAAUGGGCUGAUGUCAAGCUUGCACAAGCUAAAUAUCUUCUUUCUCGAUUAUCACAAUUCAAAACUCUGGUAUCAGAUCAAUAUGAAUGCACGCCUGAAGUCAUUUUGGCUGGUGACUUUAAUUCUACACCAGGAGAUAUGGUUUAUCAGUACCUCAUAUCAGGCAAUUCUUCUUCACAAAUUAUGCCUGAAUGUUUGGAGGAGCAACCAAUUCCCUUAUGUAGUGUCUACGCUUCUACGAGAGGAGAGCCACCAUUUACAAACUACACACCUGGUUUCACCGGAACUCUCGAUUAUAUAUUAUUCUGCCCCUCUGACCACAUGAAACCAAUCAGCUUUCUUGAGCUUCCAGACUCCGAUGCAGUCGACAUUGUCGGUGGACUGCCAAACUAUAGUCAUCCAAGUGAUCAUCUACCAAUUGGUGCUGAAUUUGAGAUCAUCAAGGAGUAAAUGGUCUUGUACGGCUAAGUGGUAUUUGAUUUCUCAAGCAUUCAUGUUGAUGAGGCAAAGAAUUGGGGCGAGUAUACUAUGGAUUAGGCAGUGAAAUCAACCGAGUGACUUGACAAGCUUAAUUUGCUCUGUGCUGCAUUAUUAUGGUUAUUGUUAUUGCUUUGCUCUCACAAAUAUGAAAAUGUUUUGGACGGCUCUGAUAUGUCAAUUCAAGUGAUUCUUGGGUCAUUAUAGUGUCACAAUCAUUCACACUAGACUGCAGCAUGGCCAUCACGACUUCAUACACAGUUAUGAAUUAUAAUGGGAGUGUUUUCUUGUUCAAGUUGGGGGUCUUAGGGGACCACCAAUUGCAAGUUGCAAUGUGAGUUUGUGAGGAGUUAGAUUUGGGUGGCUACUUUGGCUUUCUAUACCCAUCAAUAGGUAGCGUUUGUUUUGAGGUACUGAGAUAGAGACUGGAAACUGAGAUUCAGUAUCAUGUUUGUUGGUUCAGAGACUAGUAUUGAAAUUUCUGUCUCUGUCCCCAAAAUUUUAGUAUUUCAGUAUCUCCAAAGAUUAAGGAUACAAGGAACUAAAAUUUUUAGAGAUGGAGAUUGAAAUUUCAAUAACAUUUUAUAUCUAAAAUACUAUCAUUUCAAUUAA